rnacentral:lncRNA from 1 species
UUUCCAGACCAUGUGGUGGUUCUCCUGGUGGAAUUGAGUUAUGUACUUGUAGACAGAAUGAAAAGUUGACUGAAAGUCAAGGUUCAGCUGAAAGGUCUGAUUCUCCCACACACAUUUUACACAGAGUCCCACGUGGGAGAGAAACAACCCAGCAGGACUGGACGGGUUGUGACCACCGCUGCCUUCCACCUUCCCUUUCCGACUCGAGGACACCAAGUCAGAGGCUCAGCCGCCUGCCGAAGUCACCCAGCUACUGAAAGAUGGCACGGGAGGUGGAGCCCUGAUGCCUCCAGGUCGCUACCCCCCAACUCCUGCAGGACCCCCAACAAAGGCAGUGUUCUGUCCCCCAGGCACCCCACCCUACGCCAUCAGCCAUGGUCUCCUCUGCAUCCAUCUAGAAAAUACUCAUUUACACAAGUGAAGCAGGAAUAUAUUUUUGUUACAAACUAAUCAAAUAAUAUAAUAGAGCAAAAAACAGAAUUUUCAUUUUGUCUUCUAC